rnacentral:snRNA from 1 species
GUGCUCGCUCCGGCAGCACAUAUGCUACAACUGGAACGGCACAGAGAAGAUUUAGCAUGGCCCCUGCACAAAGAUGGCAUGCGAAUUCAUGAAGCGCUCCUUAUUUUU